CCGAGUAACCCGGACACCCGUCGCCAGUGGAUUGCCAAGAUAAGGAGAGAUGUUGGACCUUAUUUUCAGAUCACAGACAACACAAGAGUGUGCUCCAAACACUUUUCCAAGGACUGCAUAUUAAGAUCGCUUACCGGUUUGAACAAACUGAAAAACGGGAGUGUGCCGUCUUUGUUUACAUGGUGUCAGCCCAAGACCAGAAGGACAAUUCAACGCUUCCAGAGUGCUGUUGAAAGGAUACAGCAACUGGAUAGAGGGGUACAUUACUGAUAU